UAUCUCGGAUUGAUGGGGGAAUAUUGGGCUAGCGAAUGCUGAAAACCGUUUUAUAAUAUCUGGAAAACUUUUGGAGUUAUGAGGCAAAGUGUCUGGCCAUGUCAGUUAAGAGACAUUCGAGUCCACGGAGGUGUGUCUCGAUGACUUAGGAUAAGUCCUGGAAUUCUUAACUUAGGAAGAUGUUUUGUAUCUCGAAUUGAUGGUGGAACAUUGGGCUAGCGUAUGCUGAAAACCGUUUUAAAAUAUCUGGAAAACUUUUGGAGUUAUGAGGCAAAGUGUCUGGCCAUGUCAGUCAAGAGACAUUCGAGUUCACGGAGGUGUGUCUGGAUGACUUAGGAUAAGUCCAGGAAUUUUUAAUUUAGGAAGAUGCUUUGUAUCUCGAAUUGAUGGUAGAGGAUUGGGCUAGCGAAUACUGAAAACCGUUUUAAAAUAUCUGGAAAACUUUUGGAGUUAUGAGGCAAAAUGUCUGACCAUAUCAGUCAAGAGACAUUCGAGUCCACGGAGGUGUGUCUGGAUGACUUAGGAUAAGUCCAGGAAUUAUUAACCUAGGAAGAUGUUUUGUAUCUCAAAUUGAUGGUGGAGGAUUGGACUAGCGAAUGCUGAAAACCGUUUUAAAAUAUCUGUAAAACCUUUGGAGUUAUGAGGCAAAGUGUCUGGCCAUGUCAGUCAAGAGACAUUCGAGUCCACGGAGGU
rnacentral:lncRNA from 1 species